UACGGAGGGUGCGAGCGUUGUCCGGAAUCAUUGGGCGUAAAGGGCGCGUAGGUGGCCACUUCAAGCGUGCGGUGAAAGUCGGGGGCUCAACCCCUGAUCGGCCGUGCGAACUGGGGGCUGGAGCACUGGUAGAGGCAGGCGGAAUUCCGGGUGUAGCGGUGGAAUGCGUAGAGAUCCGGAAGAACACCGGUGGCGAAGGCAGCUUACUAAAGAAUAACUGACGCUGAGGCACGAAAGUGUGGGGAUCAAACAGG
rnacentral:rRNA from 1 species